GGUCAUCUGGAAGAGCAACCAGAAUUCUUUGUCUUUUUCAUUUUUUCUCCCCUAUUUUCUUUUCCCCUUCCUUCCCUUCCUCCCCCCCUCCUUUCUUUCUUUCAGACGCAGAAUUUCUCUGUAUAGCCUUGGCUGACCUGGAACUUGUUCUAUAGACCAGGCUAGCCUUGAAUUCAGAGAUCCAUGUGCCUUUGUCUCCCAAAUGCUGGGCUUAAAGUUGGGCACCAUCACUUCCCAGCACAACCAGGAUUCUUUUUUUUUUUUUUUUUUGGUUCUUUUUUUUCGGAGCUGGGGACCGCUCUACCACUGAGCUAAAUCCCCAGCCCCACAACCAGGAUUCUUAACCAUUGAGCCAUCUCCCCAGUCAUGGUCCUUCUAAUUUAAGAUAUACAUAUAUCAUUCUUUGUAUAUGCAUUUGGAGGUCAAAGGGCAACUUUCAGGAGUUGGUCCUUCUUCUACCAUGGGAUCCAAGAAUCAAAGUCAGGUUAUCAGGUUUGAGCAACAAGCACUUUUAAUGUCCAUCUCAUGGGCCCCCCCGGUCAUGAUCUUUCUUUCUUUUUUUUUUUUUUCUUUUUUCUUUUUUUCGGAGCUGGAGACCGAACCCAGGGCCUUGUGCUUGCUAGGCAAGUGCUCUACCACUGAGCUAAAUCCCCAACCCCGGUCAUGAUCUUUCUGUUGAGGCCAACAGUAUGCAGACACCCAGGUUCACCAGGGCAAGAAUAGAGGACAUCAGUGAGACCUCUGAAGGUCUCAGGUUGGAAGAACAGAUAGCUGAGUUGAGAUAUUUGCAGACCUGAAUCAAAAUGGCUUUCAUUUUCUAUGUCAACUCCCAUCACUAAGUCAUUAUGAUGGUUUGUAUAUGUUUGACCCAGGGAGUGACAUUAUUAGGAGGAUAACCUUGUUGGAGUAGUUGUGUCACUGUGAGUGUGGACUUUAAUACCCUAGUCCUAGUUGCCUGGAAGCCAGUAUUCUGCUAGCAGCCUUCAGAUGAAGAUGUAGAACUCUCAGCUCUUCCUGCACCAUGCCUCCAUGGACGCCGCCAUGUUCCUGCCUUGAUGAUAAUGAACUAAACUUCUGAAACUCAGUGUGAUGUUUGUGUCAUGGAACAAAGAGGGACCUGGUCAACUUCUGCUUCUGAAGGCUUUGACAGUGAUGUAGAAGUGGACUGGAGGGGCUGGAGAGACGGCUCGGCAGUAAAGAGCACUGACUGCUCUUCCAGAGGUCCUGAGUUCGAUUCCCAGCAACCACAUUGUGGCUCACAACCAUCUGUAAUGGGACCUGGUGCCCUUUUCUGGUGUGUCUGAAGACAGCUACAGUGCUAUAGUGUACUCAUAUACAUACGAAAAAGAAAUAAUUCUGAAGAAGAAGGAGGAGCACUGGAGGCAGCAAGGCCAAGAGGCCAUUACCAGGAAAUUUUGCCAUCCAGGGGAGGGGUGAUGACUUAUGACUAAGUCAGAGACAUUAGCAGUGGAGGAGCCAUGACCACCAGAAGGAAAAAUGGGAAAGAACUUCUGGUCAUCCAAAGUGGGUGGAAACUAUGCAGACACAUAGGCCUGAAUUGAAAUCCUAGUCAUAUCAUUUACCGAGCUUGCACAGAUGAUCUUUCUAGAACAGAGAAAGUAAAGCAAGAAGGGACCUAUUCCACAGUGGCUC